rnacentral:rRNA from 1 species
AUGGUAUUUGGAGACUUUAAUGAGAUCCUUUUCGCUCAUGAGAAGGAGGGGGGAGCGGUGCGGGAGCAGCGCCUAAUGCAAGGUUUCAGAGAUGCUUUGGACUGUAAUCUGGACGAUAUGGGAGCGUUGGGGGACAGUUUUACGUGGAGCAGAGGGCGGAUAAAGGAGCGAUUGGACAGAGCUGUGUGUAACUCCCGAUGGAAUAUUUCGUUCCCACAUGUGGGAGUGCUGAAUGGUGAAAUGACAAAAUCGGACCAUCGACCCUUGGUGUGA